rnacentral:rRNA from 1 species
GAUGAACGCUGGCGGCGUGCUUAACGCAUGCAAGUCGUACGUGAAGGGGUUUUCGGACUCCUGAAAGUGGCGAACGGGUGAGUAAUACGUAGAUGACCUGCCUUAAAGUGGGGGAUAACUACUGGAAACGGUGGCUAAUACCGCAUAGAGCUGUGACCGUUGGGAGGUUGCAGGGAAAGCUCCGGCGCUUAGAGAGGGGUCUACGUCCGAUUAGCUAGUUGGUGGGGUAAAGGCCUACCAAGGCGACGAUCGGUAGCUGGUCUGAGAGGACGAUCAGCCACACGGGAACUGAGACACGGUCCCGACUCCUACGGGGGGCAGCAGCGAGGAAUAUUGGGCAAUGGGCGAAAGCCUGACCCAGCAACGCCGCGUGAAGGAAGAAGGCCUUCGGGUUGUAAACUUCUUUUGUGGGGGAAGAGAGAGGACGGUACCCUGCGAAUAAGUCACGGCUAACUACAUGCCAGCAGCCGCCGUAA